GUGCUCCACUGCAGUGUGACUCUCAAUAUUCUUUCAUCUCAAUUCUUCUUCUAUAAGAACUCUCUCAUAUAACCCCUUCUUCUGAUCUUCUUUCUCUUUCUUUUCUUAAUCAAUUUAUAAACUGUUAUCAGAAUAGUGUCAAGUCUGUUGAUAGUGCUGUUGAAACAGAUUGUACAAACUGUGCAGACAGUAUAAACAGUUUAAUCUGCAACAUCAGUAAUAUCUGCUUAAUCAAUGACAUGCUCAUUACAUUACAAAUCAAUUCAUCUGCAUUUAAGACUCAAGUGUCUAGUUAUUAGUUCUCAUAUCUGAGUGCAUCAAUUAUAUUUAAGAUCUGAGUGUCUCAUUACCAG
rnacentral:sRNA from 2 species